rnacentral:ncRNA from 1 species
UGCGCUUAUUUCGUCCUCCGUACUACGGACCCAACGAAACCCGC